AUCACGCUUUUUACUCGUCUACAGGGAAAUCUCCUCCCCCUCGUGCGAUCGGGAAAAUUAACCCUUUGCGCGAGAGGGCGCAGAAGAGCAAGACCUCCCAUCGCCCUGGGGGAUAGUUUUGUUUACAAGAAGCCAACUAAAAUGAGGCGAGGGCAUUUCAUGCAGUCAGAUCAUCUCAGGAAGACACUGGAGGCUGAGGCGGGAAGACUGGUGCUAGUAAAAUUGCCAGAAAUUUGAGGACAAGGCUUCCAAGUUCAACAGUCCUGACUGUCCCGGAACUCACUUUGUAGACCAGUCUGGUCUUGAACUCAAAGCAAUACACCUACCUCUGCUUCCCAAGUGCCAGGAUUAAAGAAGUGGCCCCCACCUCCAGAUAGAAUGAUUAUUUUCUUUCUGGACUUUUAUAAGGGUAGGAAAGAUGGCAGAGGAUAUUGGGAGAAAGCCCAGCAUUGCAAGUAAGAAUCAUUAUGAAAAGCUUUCUUGUGUGCUCGUUCCUAAGACAUAGCCGGAUAUCUAGUUAAUAUUGAAUAUGUGUAACUGGUAUUCCAACAUAAUUGGCAAUUUAUAGUUGGCAAUAAAGUGUUUA